rnacentral:rRNA from 1 species
UACGGAGGGAGCUAGCGUUGUUCGGAAUUACUGGGCGUAAAGGGCUCGUAGGCGGCCAACUAAGUCGGAUGUGAAAUCCCCAGGCUCAACCUGGGAACUGCAUCCGAUACUGGAUGGCUUGAAUCCGGGAGAGGGAUGCAGAAUUCCAGGUGUAGCGGUGAAAUGCGUAGAUAUCUGGAGGAAUACCGGUGGCGAAGGCGGCAUCCUGGACCGGCAUUGACGCUGAGGAGCGAAAGCCAGGGGAGCAAACGGG